UACGUAGGGUGCAAGCGUUGUCCGGAAUUAUUUGGGCGUAAAGAGCUCGUAGGCGGUUUGUCGCGUCUGCUGUGAAAACCCGAGGCUCAACCUCGGGCCUGCAGUGGGUACGGGCAGACUAGAGUGCGGUAGGGGAGAUUGGAAUUCCUGGUGUAGCGGUGGAAUGCGCAGAUAUCAGGAAGAACACCCGUGGCGAAGACGGCUCUCUGGAACGCAACUGACGCUGAGACGCGAAAGCGUGGGGAGCAAACAGG
rnacentral:rRNA from 1 species